AGCACAUUCCAUCAAAUCGAGAAAUAUAUUCUGUUUAAAGAUAGAUAGAUACUUAUCCUGUACGCAAAAACAAGUUGACAACGCAUGCUUGCGUGGAUCCUAGGAAACUUUCAACUUCACAAUGCAACUCAAUUACAGCUGUCUCCUGCUUGUCUCGGAUUCAAACCAUCACACUUUUGUGCCAUUUCGUGCAGUAUUGGUAUUAUUACACGUGCCUCCAAAACUGGAAAAACUAUCAAUAUUAUAAUGUGUGUCAAAAUAUAUACUAGUAUACGAAAACUCUUGGUACUUUCUGUGCUUCAAUCAACCGCACAGAGGAUAUGUAUUGUUCGCUGCCAUGCUUGUUCUAAAACAUGAUAGCUUGCCAAGUGCUCAAGCUAUUGUUGAAUUAAGACACGAAGGAGCAGAGAGGAGUCUAAUUUCCUCAACUAACAAAUAGGUAAACAUGAAUUAAACUUAAUUUCUUCAGUACUUGUUAGUGACAGUCAAUUAGUUAUUUCUUAGCUCUUCCUAGUUCUUCCUCUGUAAUCAUUUUCUCGGCCAAAAAAGUGUUAAUUUGUCCUUCUA